AGCCCUUAUGUUCCAGGCCCAUCUACUUCUUCUCCUGCCUCUCACUGUUAUUUCGUUUCAGCUAUCCGCAGCUCAACCAACCGACGGAGUGAAACCUCAGAGAAAUGCUUCUUCUUUGCUUUAACACUAUAUAAUUACGAUUCUCAGUUAUGUCUUUCAAUCGUAGCUCCCACUACGUGAUCAUUAAUUUAAUUCCCCACCUCCUCUGUUAUUACGAUUUUUCUAAUCUAUAAAUAAGAUGCAAGUUUAAGAAAGCAAUGAAAAGUUAUUUACGACAUGCUAUUCCUCGACAAGCGCCACCAGCUAUCAUCUCCCACCAUCGGACAUGUGUCGCCUCUUUGAUUCUAUACCUUUAGAUAUCAUCGCCACAUGAAGGUCAUCAAUGGACAGUCUCUUAGCAAACACCCGUUCUUGGACGGAGUCAGCAUUCCCACCUAACCCCAAAAGAGAUACGAUUACAUAUUAGCACCAGCCAUAACAUGUAUAUGUCAUUAACUGUCUCACAAUUAUAAUUGGCUAUUUCAGGGGACCUCUGAUUAACGGCUACCUUUGGGACCAGGCUGCUCAUGAGUUGUACAACAAGUUCAACGAAUGUCUCGCCGGUCCUGCUGUUGUAAUAGUAACAGCAUCUAACACUAAACGUACUGGAGGCGAACCGGAGAUACUAAGCAAAGGAGAGCAAGUGUCAGCUGAAGGAAUGUUGUUGGUUUGCCUACUUCCAUUGGAAAAAUAAUUAAAAAAAUCAAAUGUAGACGGAGGUAACAAACUAAAGUGCAGAUCCUUACUAUUGGAGUGAUCUUUUCCUCAAGAUUUUUGCCUUAAACAUGAACCAAUUCAGUGGCAUUGAUGUGUCCAAAAUGCAGAGAUGCCAAUGUGACUGGAGUUGAAAUGUACCGUGGUGAAAUAUCGGUCAAUGACAAUGGCGGGAAGGAAUUUUGUGCUCCUUGGUGAUACUGGUCCUGAGCUAACAGGGAGGCAGACAACGGAGCUUAUUGACAACUACUUUGAGGCUAAUGGGGACAUGUGUGAUAACCAUGAGAUGCCAACUCCACAAUGUCUGGUGGAAGUCUCCAGCUAAAACUUUACAGUUAAGAGACAGACCAUAACUGUGACAAGGGUUGUUUUUCCUGUAGUUCUGCCACCAUCUGUAGCAGCAGAAAACUAACCUGACGCAAUCGAUGAAACAGCACAUGCUCCUCAAGUAAUUCCAUUCUGCCGUAGAUGAAGCUGAGGCAAGUGCAUCUAUCUAGGAGACUGGCGUGCAGGAGAAAGCUAAGCGCAUAAGUCAUAACUAAACCAGCCACAAUCACACCAAUCCAAUCAUUGGUUGCUUGAUAGGACCAUUCUCUAUCUCUAUCUAAGAUUUCUCUUUGUUUUUUUUACCUUCCACCUUUUGCUUAGCUUUUUUCCCAUACAAACUCUUUUUCAUAGGAUUUCCUUUUGUUGUUGCCAAAAAGGUUUUCCCUUUUGUUUUUGACCCAACAACUUUUUGCCUUUUAUGUGUAAAUACAGACGCUUAAGUUAAUAUCACAUUUACUUCUUCA